UGGGGAAUGUGCCAAAGAGACAACAACCCGACCAUAGAAAAAAACAACAGCAGAAGGUCACCAACAGGUCUUCAAUGUAGCGAGAAAUUCCCGCACCCGGAGGCGUCCUUCAACUGGCCCCUAAACAAAUAUAUACUAGUUCAGUGAUAAUGAACGCCAUACUAAUUUCCAAAUUGUACACAAGAAACUAAAAUUAAAAUAAUACAAGACUAACAAAGGCCAGAGGCUCCUGACUUGGGACAGGCGCAAAAAUGCGGCGGGGUUAAACAUGUUUGUGAGAUCUCAACCCUCUCCCUAUACCUCUAGCCAAUGUAGAAAAGUAAACGCAUAACAAUACGCAC
rnacentral:lncRNA from 1 species